AUCGAACAUCUUUGCUGACUCGGCCUCUUGCCUUGAUUUGUUCCACAACCAUGCCAACCAUCAAAGACCACCAAUAUACAUUGAAUACGACCAAGGAGAAUAGAAGUGUGUUAAAGAGAUAAUAAUAUAGAGGUCCAUCCACCAUGUGCUUCUCCAUGUCCAAGGUCAAAAGGACUUCAUAGCUGUCAAAAGAGAAAUGAAAACAAAAAAAUUAUAAACAAAGGCAAGCAUUAAAUUGAAGAAGAAGCAAGAGUUGGGGCAAAGGAGGAAGAAGAUGCUCUGCUUUAGUCAACCAUUUGUUACAGGUAGAAACAUGCUAAGAGGUGGCUGUUUGACACUUGAUUAGAUUUUUACUUCUACUUCUUCCAUUAUUUAUCAUCAUCGUUAUUAUUUUUGUGUGGUCAGUGGUGGGGAAAGGGCACAUCUAUAGUUCUGUACAAUUAAAACAGUAUGGCUUGAUCAGGAUGCUGAAAACCUACAACAGCAAGCAGAAUUGGUGAUGCAGCAAUCAAACCAGGAUACAGGAGACAGAACAACCAGCUUUACCUAACAGCAAAUUCAAGCAAGAAUUCAAAACCUGCAAACAUACUUGUCCAAACAAGAAAUGAUAGACUAGCAUCUGACUGACUAAGAUAUGCAUACAAGAUUCUAUUACGACCAUAAAAGAUUCUGUAAAUUCCCAAAUAUGUUAAAUCUUAGGCCAUAAUUCUGAUUAAACUUACUUUUCUUGGGCUCCUCAUUUACUCCAUCAACAUAUGAAUUCCAAACAAAGUAAGAUAAAUUUAAACCAUUAAAAUUUGAAUU
rnacentral:misc_RNA from 1 species